AUUACAUUGCUAUAUAUAGCAGCACACAUUGUAAAGAGCUAGUGAUGAGCAGCAUGUUCCUUUUGUGAAUUAAAGUACAGUGCAGCCACAGGAAGAUCAAGUCCAUUGUCACUUGCAAACUGUCGAGUCUUGAAAUUGGAUCGCCCUUGUGGUGGUUUAUGGGGCACUUGCUCCGCCUCCUUCUGCCUAAACAGAGUGAACACGUAUCGAUGUAUCCCUGCCGGUGGCUUCGGU
rnacentral:misc_RNA from 1 species